AGUGAACGCUGGCGGCAGGCCUAAUACAUGCAAGUCGAGCGGCAGCGCGGGGGGAACCCUGGCGGCGAGCGGCGGACGGGCGAGGGAUUCGCAGGAAUCUGCCCUUCUGUUGGGGCUAACGUAGGGACGCUUACGCUAAUACAACAUCCGUCCUUCGGGUGAACGGGGGGGACCGAAAGGACUCAAGCAGCUUGCUGAGCCGACGACCGAUUAGCUAGUUGGUUAGGUAAAGGCCCACCAAGGCGACGAUCGGUAGCUGGGCUGAGAGGAUGAUCUGCCACACUGGAACUGAGACACGGCCCAGACUCCUACGGGAGGCAGCAGUGGGGAAUAUUGGACAAUGGGCGCAAGCCUGAUCCAGCCAUGCCGCGUGUGUGAAGAAGGCCUUCGGGUUGUAAAGCACUUUUGUCCGGAAAGAAAACACUGGUGCUAAUACCUUCGGGUGAUGACGGUACCGGAAGAAUAAGCACCGGCUAACUUCGUG
rnacentral:rRNA from 1 species